rnacentral:rRNA from 1 species
AAGGAGCCGGUAUCAAGUACCACUGCCGCGCGACCAAGUUCGACGCGAUCAUCGUCGCCGCCACGGCCCUGUCGGCGGUUCUGGUCUCAGUCGAAUUCUGCAUCCUCGUCGGCACGAUUCUCUCGUUCCUGAUGUACGUCCCCCGCGCGGCCCGGGUGGAAAUGCAAGAACUCGUUAUUACAUCCAAUCACCGCAUCCGCGAACGGAACGACGACGAUGUGCCGAGCGACCGACUGCGGAUCUACAAUUUUGAAGGGGAGCUGUUUUUCGGUUCGUCGCCGGAGUUUGAAUCGCACCUCGAGCAGAUCGAAGGAGAGAUCGACGCCGACCUGCGGAUUCUCAUUCUCCGCGUGAAGCACCUCCGCAAUCCCGACGCCGUCUGCAUGCACCUGCUCGCCGAGUUCAUCGAGGAGACGGAGGCCCGCGGCGUGGUCGUCUGUCUGACGGGCGUCCGCGGCGGGUUCUACGCGACGUUGAAGAAGGUAGGCAUCGUCGAACUGCUGGGCGACGAGCGGGUCUUCCGCGAAGUACCGCGCGACUGGACCAGCACCGUCGCCGCCAUCGAAUGGGCGCACCGGCAACUAGGAGACGACCUGAACGGCGCCGCCCUCCCGCCCGACGAAGAAUCCGUCGUCGUCCGCGACUGGCACUUCACAUCCCUCUA